UAGAGAAUCUGCCCUGUACUGGGGGACAACAGAGGGAAACUUCUGCUGAUACCCCAUAUGAGCGUACCUGCGAUGGUAUUCUUGAAAGUUCCGGCGGUACAGGAUGAGUCUGCAUCUGAUUAGCUAGUUGGUGGUGUAAUGGACUACCAAGGCGACGAUCAGUAGCUGGUUUGAGAGGAUGAUCAGCCACAAUGGGACUGAGACACGGCCCAUACUCCUACGGGAGGCAGCAG
rnacentral:rRNA from 1 species